rnacentral:rRNA from 1 species
GCUCUACGGUCGAUUUGGGGGCGAUUGGUAUGCACCUCGCCGCCGCCGGACCCCUAUGGACCCUCCAAAAUCGAGUGGUCCCAGGGGGGCCGUUUUCUAGAAAUGGACCCUCUGGCCAAACGGACCCUCUGGCAGGACGGCCCCUCGGGCCAAAUGGACCCUCUGGCCAAACGGACCCUCUGGCAGGACGGCCCCUCGGGCCAAAUGGUCCCUCUGGGCCAGACGGACCCUCUGGGCCAUUUUCACAAAAUGGACCCUCUGGCCGAGGGGCCACGGCCCCCCUAGGGGGGCCAUUUGGGGCCGAAAAAAAAAAGUGCUCCAAAUCGCUCCGGGGUUGAUCCAGGCGUGCUCUACGGUCGAUUUGGGGGCGAUUGGUAUGCACCUCGCCGCCGCCGGACCCCUAUGGACCCUCCAAAAUCGAGUGGUCCCCAUGGUCUGAUAGUUCCGCCCUUGUAUUUUUUCAUUUUUGAGGCCGCCAGAAUAUAUUUUAUGCAACUCCCUUUAUAUCUAUAUCAUUAUUAUUAUUAUUAUUCUUCAUUAUACUCCUAUGCAGUCAAAGACUAUAAGGAGUUCACUACCUAAGGUAACCAAUACUUAGCCAAUCCGUGGCUGGAUUUAAAUACAGCAGGUGCAGGUACAAUUUAUCCUCAAAGAUAAGAAAUUUGGAUAUAGUAAUCUAGUCUCUUUAAAGAGAACUAGAUAAUUUUAAUAAAAGAAAAUAAAGAAAUAAGUAGUAUUCCCCUAAGGGUAAUAAGAAAAAGGAAAAUAACGAAUGUAGUAGUAAAACUAAAGAAAAUUCUUAAAGAAUGUCUUUUAGAGCUCUUAGCUCCUAUCCUCCCCUAAAAGCCACUUUCUAGUAGCUAUUUGGGUUUCUUUCAAAUAGCUUAAGAGCCAUUGUUUUCCUUUCUCUGUCUGAAAUAUAUAUUUUAGAUUCCAAUUCUGAAUCUUUUUUUCUCUCUUUAAACGGUCUCUAACUUCUUUAUAAGAAGGGCAGAGAAGUAAAAGGUGAGCUGGGUUCUCCUUUUGAUUUCCUCUACAUGCCUGACAGGCAGAAGAGUUAUAUCUAGGGAGUCUUCUUAGGUAGGAUCUAAAGUAUCCAUGACCUAAUUUUAGCUGACUUCUAGUAGACCAAAGGCUCUUAGGCUAUUUAUCUUUAGAAGCUUGCCAUUUAGGAAUAGUUUCAAAAGGUAGAUAGUCUUUUCCUAGACCUCUUUUCCUCUUUUCUUCUAGAUCUUGAUUCCACUCCUCUAGAGCUAUUUCUUUAAUUUUCCUCUUAAUAGUAGCUAAAGAGGUAUAUUUAUUUUUAGAAAUAUCUCUAGGGUCUCUAGAUCUAGCCCCUAAUUUAGCAGCAAAGUCUGCUUUUUCAUUUCCUAGAAUAUUCUGAUGGGCUGGAAUCCAGGCUAUUUUAAUAUUAUAGCCUCUAUCUUUUAGCUCCUUAGCUAUUCUUCUAAUUCUAGAGAUAUACCUCUCACCGCCUUCUAGAUAUGAUUUCUGUAGUCUCUGAAUAGCAGCUUGACUAUCAAUAAAUAGCCAGAGUUCUUUAUUAGAAGAAUAGGUAAAGAGUGGGUUUAUUAGAGAAAGAUUUCUCCUUAUAGCUUUUAAGCCUUGAAUAAAGGCCUGCUCUAUAGCGAAGAGUUCUGCAUCAAAAACUUCUAAUUCUGUCCCUAGGCUCCAAGAUCCAUAGUUAGCAGUCCUAAAGUUAUAGAUUCCUGCUCCUAGAUAACCUGUAUCAAGCUUAGAGCCAUCAGAAUAGUAGAUAAUACUAUCUUUAUUCUUUAAGACUUCUUUAAGAAGAUCUAGAUACUCCCUUUUAGCUAUCUCUUUUGGAGAUUGGCUGAUUUUAAGGUCUAUUAGGUUCUCUAGACUUUGAUUCCAAGGCUUAAUCCAGUUCUGAUUAAUAGCCUCUAUUUUAGAACUUGAUAGAAGGUUAGCUAUUUUAGAGGUUAUUCUAAAUAGCUGAGAAGGUUCUAAUUUCUCCUUUUUACCUUCUAUAUAGUCUAACUCAGACCAAUCAUAAAAUUUUAAUCAGUCUAGGUCAAUUCCUAAAUCUCUUUCU